rnacentral:rRNA from 1 species
UACGUAGGCAGCGAGCGUUGUUCGGUAGUUACUGGGCGUAAAGGAGUGACGUAGGCGGUUUACUAAGUUUGGAUUGUGGAAAUACUCCCGCGUUAACUGGGAGGGUGCGCCGAAAAUCGGAAAGCUGAGUGUGGGAGAGGUAAGCGGAAUUCCUGGUGUAGCGGUGAAAUGCGAUAAAUAAUCAGGAGGAACACCUGCGGGUGUAGACGGCUUACUGGACCAUAACUGACGCUGAGGCA